rnacentral:rRNA from 1 species
AAUCAACGCUGGCGGCGUGCCUAACACAUGCAAGUCGAGCGAGAAAAGGGGAGCAAUCCCCUGAGUACAGCGGCGCACGGGUGAGUAACACGUGGGUAAUCUGCCCUGGAGUGGGGAAUAACACCGGGAAACCGGUGCUAAUCCCGCAUACGAUCACAGAGUCUGCGGAUUUUGUGAUGAAAGGAGCAAUUCGCUCUAGGAGGAGCCCGCGGCUGAUUAGCUAGUUGGUGAGGUAAUGGCUCACCAAGGCAACGAUCAGUAUCCGGUCUGAGAGGACGGUCCGACACACUGGACCUGAGACACGGUCCAGACUCCUACGGGAGGCAGCAGUGGGGAAUUUUUGGCAAUGGGGGCAACCCUGACCAAGCAACGCCGCGUGGGUGAUGAAGUCUCUUGGGACGUAAAACCCUUUCGACGGGGACGAAAGCCGCAAGGUUUGACGGUACCCGUAGAAGAAGCCCCGGCUAACUCCGUGCCAGCAGCCGCAGUAAUAC